GAUGAACGCUGGCGGCGUGCCUAAUACAUGCAAGUCGAGCGAACAGACGAGGAGCUUGCUCCUCUGACGUUAGCGGCGGACGGGUGAGUAACACGUGUAUAACCUACCUAUAAGACUGGGAUAACUUCGGGAAACCGGAGCUAAUACCGGAUAAUAUAUUGAACCGCAUGGUUCAAUAGUGAAAGACGGUUUUGCUGUCACUUAUAGAUGGAUCCCGGCCGCAUUAUCUAGUUGGUAAGGUAACGGCUUACCAAGGCAACGAUGCGUAGCCGACCUGAGAGGGUGAUAGGCCACCCUGGAACUGUGCCACGCUCCAGACUCCUACGGGAGGCAGCAGUCGGGAAUCUUCCGCAAUGGUCGAAAGCAUUACGGAGCGACGCCGCGUGAGUGAUGACGGUCUUCGGAUCGUAAAACUCUGUUAUUAGGGAAGAACAAAUGUGUAAGUAACUAUGCACUUCUUGACGGUACCUAAUCAGAAAGCCCCGGCUAACUACGUG
rnacentral:rRNA from 1 species